rnacentral:snRNA from 1 species
GUGCUUGCUUCGGCAGCACAUAUACUAAAAUUGGAACAAUACAGAAAAAAUUAGCUUGGCCCCUGCGCAAGGAUGACACGCAAAUUCGUGAAGCAUUCCAUAUUUUU